rnacentral:rRNA from 1 species
GGCAGACGGGUGAGUAAUGCAUAGGAAUCUACCUAGUAGUAUGGGAUAGCCACUAGAAAUGGUGGGUAAUACUGUAUAAUCCCUGCGGGGGAAAGAUUUAUCGCUAUUAGAUGAGCCUAUGUUAGAUUAGCUAGUUGGUAGGGUAAAGGCCUACCAAGGCAGUGAUCUAUAGCUGGUCUGAGAGGAUGAUCAGCCACACUGGAACUGAGAUACGGUCCAGACUCCUACGGGAGGCAGCAGUGGGGAAUAUUGGACAAUGGGCGCAAGCCUGAUCCAGCUAUGCCGCGUGAGUGAGGAAGGCCUUAGGGUUGUAAAACUCUUUCAGUGGGGAAGAUAAUGACGGUACCCACAGAAGAAGUCCCGGCAAACUCCGUGCCAGCAGCCGCGGUAAUACGGAGGGGGCAAGCGUUGUUCGGAAUUAUUGGGCGUAAAGGGCAUGUAGGCGGUUCGGUAAGUUAAAGGUGAAAUGCCAGGGCUUAACCCUGGAGCUGCUUU